UACGUAGGGUGCAAGCGUUGUUCGGAAUUAUUGGGCGUAAAGAGCUCGUAGGCGGUUUGUUGCGUCGGCUGUGAAAUCCCGAGGCUCAACCUCGGGUCUGCAGUCGAUACGAGCAAACUAGAGUGUUGCAGGGGAGACUGGAAUUCCUGGUGUAGCGGUGAAAUGCGCAGAUAUCAGGAGGAACACCGGUGGCGAAGGCAGGUCUCUGGGCCGUAACUGACGCUGAGGAGCGAAAGCGUGGGGAGCGAACAGG
rnacentral:rRNA from 1 species